rnacentral:miRNA from 2 species
AACCCGUACAACCGAACUUGUG